AUGCGCGCGCACCGCCCGCCGCCGCCGGCGCCCGCGCCCUCCCCGUCCCCGUACCAGUCGCCAAUGCCAUCCCCGACAGCGGCAUUUCAGGGUGGGCUCAUCAGCUCGCCGCCUUCUCCCUCCGCGGUCGCGUCACCGGGACCGGCACCCGUGCCUGCGCCAGCGCCGGAGCCUAAUGCGCUGCUCGCGUACGCGGGCGCGCGGCGAGGCGGGGGUGGCAUGAGCCCGCCGCUCAUCGCCAUGCUGGCGGUGGUGGGGGCGGCGCUGCUGGUGGUGCUGUACGCGCGGCUGGCCAGGCGCGUGGUCCGAGCCGUCCGGCGGCGGUGGCGCGGAUGGAGGAGGCGGCGGCGGCUGCUGAUGCUCCCGGUCGGCUCCCCGGCGCACGACUCCUUCGCGUCCUUCACCACCUACGACAACUUCUACCACACCUUCUCGCCGUACGGCCUGGACGACGCGGCCAUCAAGUCGCUGCCCUCGGCGCAGUUCCUCAAGGCGGAGGCCGCGCGCGCGAGCGCCGGAGCCCGCGACUGCGCCGUGUGCCUGCUGGAGUUCGCCGACGGCGACGAGCUCCGCGCGCUGCCGCUGUGCGCGCACGCCUUCCACGCCGACUGCAUCGACGUCUGGCUCCGCGCGCACGCCUCCUGCCCGCUCUGCCGCGCCGCCGUCGCGCUCCCGGCCCCCGUUUCCUCGCCGCUCCGCUCCGCCCGACGCGUUCGCCCCAGCCUCGACGAUCUCCUCUUCUUCCACCCCGUCCCGCCGCCUCCCCAGAACGACGCCGGCGCCCUGCCGGAGAUCACCCCGGCAAGCCCCGAUCAGCUCAACCCGAGGGACUUCCUCCUCAAGCGCUCCUACUCCUUCGGCUUCGAGCGGAACAUUGCCACGGAGGCCGCGUCCACAGCAUCCCCUUCCUGGCGCUACCGCUUGGGCGGCGGAGGCGGAGACGGCGCCAGCGGCCGCGGCCGAAGCUUCUGGAGCAAGCGCUGGCCAUCUCCAUUCGGUGGCGUGGGGGGCUCCGCGGCGGCCGCAGCCCGUGUCUUCUCGUUCCGCUCGGCCGCGGGCAAGUCCUCCCCCUUCGCCCGCCGCCGCACCGGCGCAGCCCCCGCAGGAGGCGGGUUCUUCAUGUCCCUGUCCUCCGAGCCCCCGUCCAUAGCCGCGGCGAGGCGGAGCAACCGCACGUCGAGCCGGCUCCGGUGCGGGGACCCCGAGGCGCUGCUCUCGCCGGACCGUCUCAGCCGCUGA
rnacentral:rRNA from 1 species